UGACCACCCAAGAGAUUGGGUUUUCCCUUCGGGGACAGAGUGACAGGUGGUGCAUGGUUGUCGUCAGCUCGUGUCGUGAGAUGUUGGGUUAAGUCCCGCAACGAGCGCAACCCUUAUUGUCAGUUGCCAGCAUUCAGUUGGGCACUCUGGCGAGACUGCCGGUGACAAACCGGAGGAAGGUGGGGAUGACGUCAAAUCAUCAUGCCCCUUAUGGCCUGGGCUACACACGUGCUACAAUGGAUGGUACAACGAGUUGCGAGACCGCGAGGUUCAGCUAAUCUCCUAAAGCCAUUCUCAGUUCGGAUUGCAGGCUGCAACUCGCCUGCAUGAAGCCGGAAUCGCUAGUAAUCGCGGAUCAGCAUGCCGCGGUGAAUACGUUCCCGGGUCUUGUACACACCGCCCGUCACACCACGAGAGUCUGUAACACCCGAAGUCGGUGCGGCAACCCUUACGGGAGCCAGCCGCCGAAGGUGGGAUGGAUGAUUGGGGUGAAGUCGUAACAAGGUAAGCGUAGCGAG
rnacentral:rRNA from 1 species